AUUGAACGCUGGCGGCAGGCCUAACACAUGCAAGUCGAGCGGAUGAAGGGAGCUUGCUCCUGGAUUCAGCGGCGGACGGGUGAGUAAUGCCUAGGAAUCUGCCUGGUAGUGGGGGAUAACGUCCGGAAACGGGCGCUAAUACCGCAUACGUCCUGAGGGAGAAAGUGGGGGAUCUUCGGACCUCACGCUAUCAGAUGGGCCUAGGUCGGAUUAGCUAGUUGGUGGGGUAAAGGCCUACCAAGGCGACGAUCCGUAACUGGUCUGAGAGGAUGAUCAGUCACGCUGGAACUGAGACACGGUCCAGACUCCUACGGGAGGCAGCAGUGGGGAAUAUUGGACAAUGGGCGAAAGCCUGAUCCAGCCAUGCCGCGUGUGUGAAGAAGGUCUUCGGAUUGUAAAGCACUUUAAGUUGGGAGGAAGGGCAGUAAGUUAAUACCUUGCUGUUUUGACGUUACCAACAGAAUAAGCACCGGCUAACUUCGUG
rnacentral:rRNA from 1 species